UACGUAGGGAGCGAAGCGUUGUCCGGAAUCAUUGGGCGUAAAGCGCGCGUAGGCGGCCCCGUAAGUCCGCUGUGAAAGUCAAAGGCUCAACCUUUGAAAGCCGGUGGAUACUGUGGGGCUAGAGUCCGGAAGAGGCGAGUGGAAUUCCUGGUGUAGCGGUGGAAUGCGCAGAUAUCAGGAGGAACACCAAUAGCGAAGGCAGCUCGCUGGGACGGUACUGACGCUAAGGCGCGAAAGCGUGGGGAGCGAACAGG
rnacentral:rRNA from 1 species